rnacentral:pre_miRNA from 1 species
GGCUUGUUUUAAGUUGCCUGCGACUUGUAUUUGGACACAGGCAGCUAAAGCAAGUCUG